rnacentral:tRNA from 1 species
GUUCCUGUAGCGCAAUGGAUAGCGCAUUGGACUUCUAAUCCCAAGGUCGUGGUUUCGAAUCCCACCUGGGACG